rnacentral:lncRNA from 1 species
GGUGGUCCCAACUGCUCAGGAGGCUGGGGUCAGAGGGUCACUUGAGCCCAGGAGUUCAAGGCAAGCCUGGGCAUCAUAAGAGUCUCCAAAAAAGAAAAAAAAAAAAAGGCAGGGAAUGGAUAUAUUAUGUGGAUGUUUUGUUUGUUUUUUAUUAUCAUAGACAUUUUCCAUGAGUUAUUGAUCUCUAAUGUCUGACGUUUUACCUCUGUACUCCCUCACCCCUACCACUGCCCCCAGGUUCACAAUCUAUACAGUUGCAUAAAAGUAGCAGAAGACUUUGUAUCUCCAGAACACGUGAAGCACUGUUUCCGCCUGACUCAGGAAUUCAGGCAUCUCUCCAACACUCAUACAAAUCAUGAGGAUAAACUGCAGGUAAAUAACUUCUCCUUCACCUCACACUGUCAUUUCUUCACAUGCUCACAUACUACACAGAAGGCACAUUCUCCUCUCUGAGGGUAUUCUCUAGUUGUCUGAUAGGAGGAAGAAUGACACAGGGAAUUCCACCUCGACCUAUGGAGUCUUCCUUUCAGAAACACCUUAUCAGUCCUCAGUUCUCUUCAGUUGUGCUCUUAACCUAAUCAUCUUUUAACCUAAUCAUUUCCAGCUGGGCAUGGUGCCACAUGUCUAUAAUCCCAGUGGCUCGGGAGACUGAGGCAGGAGGAUCGAAAGGCCACCCUCAGCAACUUAAUGAGAUCCUAUCUCAAUAUAAAAAGGGCUGGGGAUGAGACUUAGUGGUAAAGUGCCCCUGAGUUCAAUCCCACUACCUCCCCCAUGCCCCCCCCCAAAAAAAAAACCUCAUUUCCAGCAUGACAGCCCCUGUUUCUCUACCCUUGGAAUGUAUAAUGUUUCUUUGUUUUGGGGGUUUUUUUUAAUUUUUUGGAGUCAUAGAUGGACAUAAUACCUUUAUUUUAUUCAUUUAUUUGUAUGUGAUGCUGAGGAUCAAACCCAGUGCUUUACACAUGGUAGGCAAGCACUCUACCACUAAACCACAACCCAGCCCAGGUAUAGUGUUUUGAACUUUAGUAACUGACUUAGACACACCUCCCUGGUCAGCACUAAGGCAGUGUAAGAAGAGAUACAGACCUAAAACUGUUUCUUAUAGCAAAGUUCUGUGCAGAUUCAAAUUUUUAUAGCUGUCCUAGGGAUUGCAGUUCCUAUCCCUGAGAAUUGCAUUUGUAGGGGUGAAAAUUGUUUUCCCCUUAUAUAAUUGAACUGGAUGUUCAGAUUAGGAUUUUUGUGGUCUUGAAAUGGAUUGGAAUUUUAAGGACAAUUUCAUUAUUAAUUCACUUCAGUAACAAAAAGAAUAAAGAAACAGGAUUCUCCAUGCAGAAGAUUUAAUAGUUUGAAUAUACACUCUCCCCAUCUUUCACUUCUGGCCUCUUCUUCUGUUAUGCCUAUUUCAUUUCUGUCUUCUUUAGUUGAUGACAAAUCAGGUUGGAAGAAAUUUUGUUGUUGUUGUGUUGUUGUUGUUUAAUUGCUGGUAGGUUUAAUCACCUUCAACUCUGAGCUUGACCUGCUUUUCAUUUUUCAAUAUUUGAAACUCAUCAGCUGGGUGAUGGACAUACCUGUAAUCUAGCCAUUCAGGAGGCUGAGAUAGGAAGAUUGCAAAUUGGAGGCCAGCCUGGGCAACUUAACAACACCCUGUCUAAAAAUAAAACAUUAAAAAGGUCUGGGGGUGUAGCUUAGUGGCAGUGUGCUCCUGGGUUCCAUCCCCAGUACCAGGGGAAAAAAUUCAAGGAACAUUUCAACCAUUAAAUUCUUACACAAAGUAUAAUCACAUUAGUAUUAUAGAUAUAAUACAAAUAUUCAAACAUACAUAUUUCAGAUAUCACCUCAGUCUCUACUUGUAAUAUAUCACCUUAUCUGUAAGGCCUUUCUUGACCCUGUUGGGCACUAUUGUGCCCGCCUGUUUGCUUUAUUUUUUAUAUUUUUUUAUAUUGAUUUCUGCUUCACCACUCCAAUCCCCUUCUAUUGUCUCAGUUUCUUCUGUAGUAGUUUUCAUCAUCUGAUAUGGUAUAUACUUUAUCUGUUUGUCACUAUUCCUUCUCAAAUGUAAGUUAUUUAAGCUCUGUGAAGGCAGGAAUUUUAUUGUUUUGUUUGUUUUUGCAGUACUAGGCAUUGAACCUAGAGCCUCGCACAUGCUAAGUAAUAAGUGCUCUACCAUUGAACUACAUUUCCAGCUCUUAUUUUUAUUUUGAGAUAGGGAUCUGGCUAAAUUGCCCAGGCUAGACACAAAUUUGUUAUCCUCCAGUCUCAGCCUCCCAAGUAGCUGAGAUUACAGGUGUACACCACCACACCUGGCUUUGCUAUUUUAUUCACUGCUGUCCUUAGCAUGAUGGCUGGCACAUAGUAGGUACUCAGUAAAUAUUUAUUGAAGUAAUAAAAAAAAAAAUAGAGACUAGCACAAGGGAGAUUUGUGUGCCCACUACAAAGUGCCCCUUAUGUUUUAUGAAAUGAUAUUAUAUAUGUAUACAACCUACAACAGUUACAUUGUUGAAUGUAUUCUUCCCCUUUCCAUUUCUCCAUUUUCCCUCCAUAGAGAUAACCACAGUCUUGGGGCUAGGGAUAUAGCUCACUUGGUAGAGUGUUUGCCUCACAUGCACAUGCACAAGGCCCUGGGUUUGAUCUCCAACACCACCAAAAAAAAAGGAGAUAACCACAAUCAUCAUGUCAUUCCUUUUUUAAAAACUGUCUUUAAGCUGGGUGCGGUGGUGCAGGUGCACACCUGUAAUCCCAGCAACUCGAGGGGUUGAGCCUGGAUGGAGGAUCACGAGUUCAAAACCAGCCUCAGUAAUGGGGAGGCACUUAGCAACUCAGAGUCUCUAAAUAAAAUACAAAAUAGGUCAAGUGCCCCUGAAUUCAAUCCCUGGUAUCCUCCCCCCCCCCAAAAAAAAAACAAACCUGUCUUUAGCCUGUUUGCUUGCUUGCUUGCUUGCUUUUUUUAUCUUUGGUACUGGGGAUUGAACCCACGGGUGUUUAAUCACUGAACAACAACAAACAACAACACAGCCCUUUUUUAUAUUUUAUUUAGAGACAUGGUCUCUCUCGCUGAGUUGCUUAGGGCCUCACUAAGUUGUUGAGGCUGGCUUUGAAUUUGAAAUCCUCCUGCCUCAGCCUCUGGGAUUUCAGGCAUGUACUAUUGUGCCUGCCUGUUUGCUUUAUUUUAAUAACUUUUUAAUUGUGUCUUCCAACUUCACAUGUAACACUUGUUCCUUUUAGGCAAAUUAAAACAUACAUAUAGGAUUGGGAUUUUGACUCAGCGGUAGAAUGCUCGCCCUAGCACAUGGGAGGUGCUGAGUUUGAUCCUCAGCACCACAUAAAAAUAAAUAAAUAAAAUAAAGGUGUUGUGUCCAGUUACAACUAAGAAAAAUAGAUAUAAAGGAGCCAGGCUUGGUGGCGCAUGCCUGUAUCCCCAUGGCUCGGGAGUCUGAGAUAGGAGGGUCAUGAGUUCAAAGCCAGCCUCAGCAAUGGCAAGGCGCUAAGCAACUCAGUGAGACCCUGUCUCUAAGUAAAAUACAAAAAAGGGCUGGGGAUGUUGCUCAGUGGUUAAGCACCCUAGGUUCAAUCCCCAGUACAAAAAAAAAAAAUUCAACAUACCAAUAGUACAAAACUACACAGCAUUAUAAGUUAUUUCCCCCCUUCCCCUUCCACUGUUCAUUGCAUCCUUAUUAGCUUUAGGACUUCGGCAAGAUUCUUUACCUUGGAACCUGUAUUUCCUCAGUUUCUCACCUAUAAAAUGGAGAUGAUAAUAGAUAUUAAUCUACCUCAUAGGAUUAUGGCAAGGAUUAAAUGAAAAUCCAUAUAAAUAACUUAGUAAUAGUACCCAGCACAUAGAUAAUGGUGAUUGUAUAGCCUUUCAAGUGAUUGUAUCAUUCUUUCUUAAAUACAGACCUGUAGCUGGGUUUGGUGGCACACACCUAUAAUCCUGGUGAUUUUGGGGAGGCUGAGUUAGGAUUACCAGUUGGAGGCUAGCCUCGAAAGACUCUGUCUCAAAAUAGAACGGGCAGAGGAUAUAACUCAGUGGUAGCUACAGGGUGUUCAGUCCCUGGUACGGCAAGGAAAAUAAAUACAUGGAGAACUUACAUUGUGCACAAUUUAUAAAUCCUGGUGGGGAGUGAUUUAGGAAGCAUGCAGUCAUUUCUUCACCAGUUGGCUUAGAAUCAGAGUAGAACUUUACAUUUGUGUUUGUGGAACACAAAAUGGAGCUGCAUUCAACUGACAGUGCUAAUUACUCUCCAGGUGAAGAACAUCAUUUACCAUGCAGUGAAAGAUGCUGUUGGUACCCUCAAGGCUCAUGAAUCCAAACUGGCAAGGUCUUAGGCACGGAGAAAUUCCAAGCUCCCUUGUGAAGCAGGUCUUUUCACUCAACACUUACAGGGAACCACAGGGUUCUCUGCUGGAGCAGAGGCCCUUCACCUGGAGCCAGUGUGGUCAGUAUUACAAACUCUCCAGCCACUCUUUCUACGCUGCCUCAACACUGAAGGUUGACACAGGAAAGUCGCACUGUUCACACACACAGUUUCUGACUCCAAGCCAAGGGUGCCACAUCCCCAGCCAGUGGCCUUUUGGGAACCCGGAUUGCCUGAACAUCGAUAGGCUUUCCUGCAUUAUUCUCUGACUUGAGAUCAUGGAAUCCAGGAAUGUGGGCACACUUUUCUUUUCCUCUUGUGCCUCGUUAAGUGGGGAUGUGUUUGGAGGUAGAGGGAAUCAUGUAACUGGUACAAGUAGGGGUGAUUGCUUAAAUAUGCCUGGUGGAAGCCUGACUGUCUCUGCACAUGACCUCUGACAUGGCCUGCCCCAGGAGAUGGGGUACAGCUAUUCCCCACACUCUCCCAUGAACACUGGAGUCUUACAGGACCCAGGGAGAACCCACUGCUUUUCCCAGGAGGCUCCAGGAUUAGGAAAUGUGUGUAUUUAGUGAAAAAUAGGUUUGUAGUGAAAUAGUUACUAUUUCAUGAAAGUAGAUAUUUUUAGAAUUUUUGAAAUACCACAGUUGUUUUCCUGGAUUAUGAGGAAAGGCACAUUACAUUUAGUCUUCCUUUCGAUAAAACUCUUUGAAGAAAUAUGAUUUUUAGAAAUCAGUUGCCCAUUAUAGCACAAAAUUAGCCAAAGCAGAAUUUAAAAGAAUUGGCUUUUUAGAAUUCUUUUAGUUUCUCCCUCUCCCCUCUCAGUCUUAUCUUGAGGGAACAGUCAUCUGAGAAAGAACUUUGUCAUGUCUGAGCUGUGGUGUGUCCCCACAUAUACAUACACACUGGUGACUCCAGGAACCAUUUUCACCUAUUACCAGCGUUCCCUUGGGACUCCUCAUUUCCAAAUGCUAAGGAAAGUUUGAUUUCCAACAUGAAGGUUUUUGUUUUUUGGGUUUUUGUCCUGAAAUAUUUUCAGCAAAACUUUCCAACUCAGUGGAGUUUUUAUUAAAAAUUUAUUUGAAAAUGAUGGAAUUCAUUGGCCCAUAGGUACAUUGGGAAAUGUAUCUCUUUCCAGCUGUACUGUAGUGCCCUGCAGGCUUGUUUAUAUGUUCACAAUUACUUUUUUUUUUUUUUUAAUAAAAGUCAUUUACUGUAGAAUACUUUUAAUUUCACUUUCUGUAUUUUAAUUUUGUCGAAGGGCUGAUUGGGAUUUCCAUGUUCUUAUUAAAAAUCUAACAAAUCUGUUUGGAGUGGACUAAAUUCUUCCUGUGGACCAACCCUUUUAAAGUCAAGGCCAUAUUGAGGGCUGGUUUAGAGGUGGGUUUUCAUUUCCAGGUUUUUGUUAUUGCACUGCACCUGAUUACUGCUCUUUGCUUCCUGAACUUAUUGCCAUUUGGGAGAAAGGAAAAGUGCCAGGAUGAAGUCAGUGUGGUUUGGGGCUAAAAGGCAAGGAGCCAUUUGAGUUAGAGGGUGGAUGGAGAAAGGGAUUUUCCUAGUUUAUGCUCUGUGAACAGAGGAGUCUUACUUUCCUAGGGCAGAAUGUCUGGGGAGAAUGGCUCAACUGAGAUUUAUUUUUGUUUAUUAAACAACAAAGUGGUUUGAGUGGUAAGGACAGACUGCAUUCCAAUUAGUAGAGGCCUUUUAGAGGGGAAGUUGUAAAGAAUAACAAGAGGGGUCAUUAGAGGCUGCUUCUCUUGAAAGUUUUAGCCUGGGAAUGGAAUUACCAGGUUGAAAAUAUAUCAUAGUUCAAGGAUACUAAGUUUGAAUAAGACCAUAACUCAGCAUGUCCAUUCAGUCUGGUCAACAGAAGGAUUACACCUCGACAUAAAGGGUAAAGAAAUGGCAAAACUUUAAAAUGGAACAGGAAAGGAGAGCAAUUGGGGGGUGCAUUGAAGCUUGGCUGCUUUGGUGAAAAUCAGGAGGCAGGCUAGCCUACAUUCUGGAUAUAAAUGUCUUCAGAAUUAGGACAUACACUGCCCUCAGUGCUUACUGAUGGGGGUGGAACUGCAGCCCCUGGACUCAUCACUGAUCUGGGACCCAGGUACCCCUCCCAGCCCCUGUUUGAAAUUUAAGGCUCACAUCUCCCCAGCCCCUGCUCUUUUCCCCUGCAAAGCUUACUGACAACCUGGGAAAACAGAUGGCUCAGGCAGGGCCUGUUUGAACUAGAGAUUGGUGAUUGUGGAGAAGGGGUGGGGUGGACAGGUGUAGUUGUGUCUCUGACUUCAGGAGCUCAGGUGAAUGUCUUUACGUGGCCUGUAAUGGGGAAGGAGCAUCCGCUAGUCGGCAGUUGAGGUUAUGUAGUCAGCUUGAAGUAAACUGCCUGGGUUCAUAUCUCAGCAGUGUGACUCAGUGGUUUUGUGACCCUUGGCAAUUUAUUAAACAUUCCUAAACUUUCCAUGUCAUUAUCUUAAAAAUGAAGAUAAAUAUAACUUUUGGGUGUUUGGAGGAUUCGAUAAAUAGUGCAUGUGAAGCUCUCAGGACAGGGCCUGCCUCACAAUAAACACUCAACAAAUCAUAGUUGUUAUUCCUUGUUAUGAGUAAAUCUUCAGCCUGAUGUGGGCAGGGAAAGGACUUUGUUAUCAGGUUGGAGUCAAGAAGGCCUGCAGGAGCGGGGCCAGAGGUCUCAAGGCCCUAGAAAGGUGAACAAGCGGUUAAGAGAGAGGCAGGGCAUAGAGGGUGAAGGCGCAUGCCCAGCCACAGCAGGUGCUAGAGGGGCGCGCCGCCGCUGUUGCGGCCUCCCCUUUAAGAGCCGCCACCGCCCACGGUCCGCCGCUGCGGCAGGGACCUCCCCUUUAACGGUGGCAGCUCGGAGCUCCGCUGCCCCCGCGGCGGCUGCUGCUGCUACUGCAGCUCCUGCUGCUGCGGCCGCUCGGCCUCAGACAGCUGCAUCCUCGACCCGGGCCGGGUCCCCGCCCCACGCAGCGCCCAGCCCAGCCAUGGUGUCCUGGAUCAUCUCUCGCCUGGUGGUGUGAGUGCGGAGGCGGCGGCAGGGCACGCCCGGGUUGGGGGCUGUGGGGGCUAGUGAUGGAGGGCGGGGAUAUUAAAUCCCCGUAAUGGACUAUCCCGGGGCUUCAUGCAACAGUCACCUAAAGGCACAUCGUUUCUGUUUGGGGUCCCCAGAGAUGUAGGACCAAGGACUGGAAAGGGGACACUAGGGGAGUUAGCAGGCCUGAAUUCCCAGGGACCUCACCCACAUUUUUUCAUAACCUUUUUUUAUUUUUAAUUGCCCUGCUCCUGUGCCCUCCCCCAUCCUAGGGCUAAGCAGCGGCUGAUUUGUAAGGGAAGGUGGGCACGUUUCUUUUCCACCUCCAGAUCUGGGCUGGAAAAAACCCUCCAACCAGGCCUCCUCUCCCUGGGUGAAGAGGAGAGUAGGACAGAGUGGGGAGCGAGGCAGGGCCUCAUCAUUCCAUAGCUCAGGAGCCAUGGCCGUUUCCCUGGGCCUCCCAGAGGCUCCCGCCCUCCUCCGGCUUUCACUGCCUGGAGACUGAGGAUGAGGACACCUGCCCCAAAGGCCCCAAGAAGGAAGACUGGGUGAGGGGAAGCAGAGAUGCUUGGAGGACAAAGUGUAGGAGGUAACUGGGAAAGGAGGUGUGUGUUCAGCCUGGGGUUGUGAAAACCACUGCGGGAAGGAUGUUUGUAGGCCUUCAUUCACCUGCCAGCCACAUUGUGAAGCGAGGUCCCUAGCACCUCCCCCAAACUCCAAACGGAACCCACACAACCCCAAAUUUUGUCCUUGAGGAUUCUACUCCACAUCCCAUCUGCAAAGGCUGGUUUGGAAGUAACCUGCCUCCAUCAGGCAACCCCCUCAAGUUGUCAGGGAAGUUCCUUGUGGGCCUCAGCCAACCCCUGUCCUAGCUCAGGACCCUCCUCAGCCUCCACCAUGGGGACUGACAUCCCUGCAGCCCCACCCUACUGGCUUCUCAUUCAAUGCUGCCAUGUAUGUGCUUGUUUCCUCUUACCCAUUCCUUUUCCCCAUUCCAACCCAGAGGGAAUCUACAGGCCUUAUUAUCUCUCUGUGGCCUUCAGGGUAGCUGCUUCUCUGUGGCCUGGAGGAGCCCCCAAGAGGCAUUGCUCUUCUUCCUAAUUAACCUGUGUCCUGUCUGUGGCCUGUAAUGGAAUCAUCAGCCAAGGCCUUGAGCCCAGGGCCCUUCCCUAAGCCUAAUCUUGGAGGAAUUGACAUGGGGGAAUAAAUGUCUUUGCUUCUCCCAGGGCCUCCUGACCCUGUGCCCUCUGGUCUCCAGGGCCACAAUAGUGCCUCUAACUGCCAGGUUGAGUAUCAUGUUAGGUGGUGUCAGGUUCUUUUGCCAAGCUGGUCCUACCCAGCCUGGCUCUGAGACAGGGAGGUAGAAGGUAAGGGCUGAUAGGUUGAAUAGCAUGAAGCCCAGAAGGAGGGAAGAUAGCUCAAUAGCAGUGACUGGACUCCCCCACUCCUCAUGACAUGCUUGUCCAUACCAAGGAUCAUGACUAAAGGGACCACAUUUGACACUAUGGCUCCUGGGUCUUUGUGGGCCUCCAGGGCAAAAGAGGAAAUGAACAGUGGAUGGGGACGGGCAUCUCCCUUGCUGGCUGAAUCCCCCAUGCUUAUGUAUCUCCUGAGUCUUGACAGCUUUGACCCUAGCCCCUGACCAGACUCCACCCUUUCCCCCUUACCUACCCAGGGGCCAAUGCAGAGCUGGGAGGGAGAGGGGCCCAGUAACUAUACCUGCCUCCCUAGGCUCAUCUUUGGCACCUUGUACCCAGCCUAUUCUUCCUACAAGGCCGUGAAGACCAAAAACGUGAAGGAAUAUGUGAGUGGAUGACCUAAACCCCCUAUCCGACCCACACUGUAGAGAUAGGAAAGGGCAAUGGGUCAUAUUACAAAUGGAGGUGACUUUGUGUCAGCACUGUUGGCCAUUAACAAGGCCCUGGAUAAAGGAGGUUCCUGGGUGUUCCUUUUGCCCAGCCUUGGCGUGGCCCACAAAUUUGGGUUCCUGGGUGUUCCUUCCCACAGCCCUGGUGUGAGGAGUCUGUAGAUGGGGGCGUCCUAGGUGUCCCUGACCCCUUAGCCCUCGGCCCCAGCAAAUGCUGCCCUCUGUCCCCUCAGGUGAAAUGGAUGAUGUACUGGAUCGUCUUUGCCUUCUUCACUACAGCUGAGACGCUGACGGACAUUGUACUCUCCUGGUGAGGUCCAGCAUCCCUCUCUGCAUCUUAGGACCCAAGCCUCUUUCUUUCUCUCAUCAGACAGAAGAUUGGACCCCACAGUGGAGUCCCCCCAACUCCUGACAGUCUCUUGGGGUCUUUAAUAUUUCACUCCUUGUCUGAUUUGAUCAGCAGAAUAAGAGUAAAUAGAUGGGCAUGGUGGCAUACAUCUGUAAUCCCAGUGACGGGGAGGAUGAGGCAGGAGAAUUAAAGUUCAAGGCCAAUCUGGGAAACUAAGUGAAGCGCUGUCUCAAACAAAAAAUAAAAAUACUAGGGAUAUACCUCAGUGGUGGAGUGCCCCUGGGUUCAAUCCCCACUAUAACCCCCACAUUUCUUUCUGGGGGCAGCCAAAGCCGUAGUGGAAUUUAGGAACCUUACUUUUGUUAUACUUACUGUGACCUUAGGCAAAUCACUGUCUAAGCCUUGGUUCCUUAUUUGUGAAAUAGACAUGGGAUCCAAUCCUAUAGACAUGGGAUGCUUGUAUUUCCAACCAUUUCCCAGGUAAUUCUAGACUGUGUGCAGUUGAGAACAGGGAAUAUGUCUGAAUCAUCUGCAUAGUCACAGCAGGAGCUCAAAAAUAUCUGCUGAAUGAGCAAAUGCCUCUUGGAAAGGAGAACUAAUAAAACAGUACUCUGCAAAUCAAGAGAGUUUUGCCUAGGGGUGGGAGACAGAAAGACCACAGCAUUUAUAGAUAAGCCCCUUGUUUUUUAAGAACAAUAAUAUUAAUAGAAAUUAGUAAUUAGACAAGAUAUGUCUUCAAGAUUGAGGAUAGUGGUAAGUCUAGAUCCUUUUGACACAGGGAAGGAGAGGGCUUUAAUGAGGGCUUUGUGAGGACACUGGAGUCUUCUUGAAAAAGUUUGGCAGUGGGGGAAAUGGAAAACAGUCCUUAAGAGUGAGGGGUGCUGGGUAUGUCUGCCUAUAGUCUAAGCUACUUGGGAGGCUGCAGCAAGAGGAUCAUUUGAGCCUUGGAGUGUUUUUUGUUUUGUUUUGUUUGUUUUGUUUUUGUUUUGUACCAGGGAUUGAACCCAGGAACAGUUAUCCACUUAGCCCCAGCACCGCCCCCCCUUUUUUUUUAAUGAGACAAGGUCUUGCUAAGUUGCUUAGGGUCUUACUAAGUUGCUGAGGCUGGUCUUAAAUUUGACUUGCAAUCCUCCUGCCUUAAGCUCCCAAGCCACUGGGAUUACAGGCAUACACCACUGCUCCUAACCUAAGGGAAAAAAAAAUUUUAAUUGAGAAAAUUGAGGAUGGUCAUGGUGGUGCACACCUGUACUCCCAAUGACUCAGAAGGCUGAAGCAGGAGUAUCGCAAAUUCAAGACCAGCCUAGUCAACUUUGUGAGACCCUGUCUCAAAAAUAAAAAGGGGUAAGGAUGUAGCUCAGUGGUAGACCACCUCUGAAUUCAAUCCCCAGUACUAAAAGAAAGAAAAAAUAUAUAUAGGUGUGAGUAUGUGUGUAUGUGUAUCACAGCAGCAAAUACUGGGAUUCAGAACCCAUCCCAGCCCUCUUCAUAGAAGGGGCAGGAAGAGAAGGGGGUGAGGAACAGACAUUAACCUGAAAGGUUAGGGAGUCUGCCUUGAUCUUGACUCCAGGGCAGAAAAAUAGGGGUCUUCUAUAGGAAUGAGAGGGCAGGACUUGAAGAGAGAAGAGAGCAAGGAGAGCCAUUGCUGGGUAAAUUUCUUCUGAAAUCACAUCUUACCAUUUUUUGUGAACUCUCAGCUGAGUCUCCUAAUCCCCUUGGGAGCCUCAUGAGAACCCCAGUGCACUAAGGGGUGGGAGAUUUCCAGGGUUAAGCAGAGAUCACUGCUGCUGAGCCUAGCGUACCCCCUGACACCCUGCCCCAUGCUUUAUACUUGCCUCUGUCCCCCCAGGUUCCCCUUCUACUUUGAGCUCAAGAUUGCCUUUGUGAUAUGGCUUCUGUCCCCUUACACCAAGGGCUCCAGCGUACUCUACCGCAAGUUUGUGCACCCAACACUAUCCAACAAGGAGAAGGUUUGGCCCCAUUCAGCUUGCUUCCCAGCCUCCCCAAGCCAAGGCAGCCCUGCACCUGCAGCCACACAACCCUGUGCCAUACAUUCCUGGCCCUCCCUUUAGGUCUCCAGAACCUAAAGUGACCUGGCAAUGCCCCAGCCUCCUGGAGUGAGCAAAGAGCAGGGCCUCCACAGCAGUACCCGCCCCUGACCUCUUCCUCCUUCCCUUUAAAUCUCUCAGGAGAUCGAUGAGUACAUCACACAGGCCCGGGACAAGAGCUACGAGACCAUGAUGAGAGUGGGCAAGAGAGGCCUGAACCUGGCUGCCAAUGCCGCUGUCACAGCUGCUGCCAAGGUGAGAUGGGGUGGGCCCGGACUUCAAGGACCCCCACCUUGUUUGUCUCCUGCUCCUGGCCAGUCCCUUGGCAUCCACCCUAUCCUCAGGGCCAUGGAGACUUUGGUCUUGUGCAGCUUGGGCUACCAGUCCUAGCUCUGUGUCCAGCCAAGUCACUUCUGCUGUCCAGCCACAGUUUCCUCAGCUGACCACAGGGAAAGUAUGACCCGGCCUCUCAGUGAGCCUGGGUAAGGACAGUGCGGGGAAAGCACUGAGCCCAGGAGCUGCUGCCAGCACCAUGGUGACCUUUGUCUCAAACCCACCCCCACACCCCUGCUGUCUUGGUGUGUGGUGGUGACCCUAGGGCCAGGGGGUGCUGUCAGAGAAGCUCCGGAGCUUCAGCAUGCAGGACCUGACGCUGAUCCGAGACGAGGAUGCACUGCCUCUGCAGGGAACUGAAGGCCGCCUCCGAACUGCCCCUGGUGGCCUUCUAGACACCAUUGAGGACUUAGGUACAGGCAGGGGUCAGGGCCAUGGGGGAGGAACAGGGUGGAGGAAGCCAGGUGGGAGACCCUGGACCUUUGUUCUCCUUUCCUCCCCAUCAACCAGCUGAUGAGGCUGCCCUGAGUAUAAGGUCUAGCACAAACCAGACAGAUCCCCGGACAGAGACCUCAGAGGAUGACAUGGGAGACAAGGCCCCCAAGAGGGUCAAAUCCAUCAAAAAAGUGCCCAAAACUGAGGUGAGAGCAUGGGCCAGAGCUUGAGGAAGUGGAGAAGGGGUGGUGGCACUGGUCUGAGUCCUGUCUUCUUCUACACUCCACAGCCACUGGCUUCCAAGACACUAAAGACCAGGCCUAAGAAGAAGAGCUCUGGCGGGGGUGACUCAGCUUGAGGCCCCAUGCCCCCACACUGCGGAGCAAAGAGGGAGCCCAAGGAAGGGGCCACAGCCCUAGCCCCUGCUCUAUACUGUGCCAUCAGCCUAGGUGUCUCAGGCUCUGGGGCUCCCUCAGAUACUCGUUCCUGAGACCCACCCAGUGGCCACUCCUCUGGAGGGGGCUUGGAAAAGAGAAGAGAGGCCCAGCUGUGCGGGUUGUGGGUAGAGGUGGCCCCAGAGCUGAGCACUGAGCUCCCAAGGAGGGGAGGGCUCCUCAGCCCACACUGCUCUUCUCCCCACUCCAGUCCUGCCCUGCCCAUCCAGUGCCUUGCUGAAGACCAUGGCCAUCCCCUUCUUUGAGGCCCUGACAUGCCCCCCUGUUCUCCCCAGGAUGAGGGUUAGGGACAGUCACAGCCAGAUGUACCAAGGAAGGGGCCUGAAGGCACUGGGAGAAAGGGAGCAAAUAGGACAGGCCUUGAGGGACCUGGAUGGGGCUUCUAGACACAGCUUUUGAGUGAAGGACAUGAAUUUUGUGUGGAUUUAAAUGACUGAGAUGCCCUGAUCAGAGCUGCAUCUGGUAAGGCUGUGUGCUACAUGUCCCCCCUGAAAAAAGAGGGUAGGGUUCGGUGUGUGAGUGUUGAGUGUUAUUUUACUGGGUCUAGAGCUGGGGCCAGUUUGGGUUAAGGACUCUCCCUCUAGUGCUCACCUCCUUCCACUCUCAGCCCUGGUCUUUCCCCCUCUUCACUGUCCCUGCUAGUCUCUGAGCCUCAGAGGAUCCCAGCCCAGGUCAGGAUGGGGCUCUAAGGGACCUCUCUGCUCCCCCUCUAUCCUUGAUCCUUUUUGCCUCACCUACUCCUGUCCUGACUUCCUAGACCUCAGUCACUGCAGAAGCCCCGCUGAGCUGGCUCCUUCCUCUUCCCACUGGGUCCUUCUUUGCCCCAGGGUCCCAUUCUUAAGCCAAGCAGACCCCUGUCAGAGCCCAGCUCCAACCCUACCCCACCUCCCAUUUCUGCGUGGCUUCCAUCAGGGCCAAGAGGAACCUGUGACAAAAGAAAUGCAGGAGCAGAAGGACUCUCAAUUCUUUGUAAAGAUAGUGCCCAUUGGACCUUUGGCACUAGAUGAGCCAAUAAACCAAAUUCUGGCACCUCACUUAUUUCG